rnacentral:rRNA from 1 species
AUACGUAGGUGGCAAGCGUUGUCCGGAAUUAUUGGGCGUAAAGCGCGCGCAGGUGGUUCCUUAAGUCUGAUGUGAAAGCCCCCGGCUCAACCGGGGAGGGUCAUUGGAAACUGGGGAACUUGAGUGCAGAAGAGGAUAGUGGAAUUCCAAGUGUAGCGGUGAAAUGCGUAGAGAUUUGGAGGAACACCAGUGGCGAAGGCGACUGUCUGGUCUGUAACUGACACUGAGGCGCGAAAGCGUGGGGAGCAAAAAGGAUUAGAUACCCUGGUUGGCCACGCCGUAAACGAUGAGUGCUAAGUGUUGGGGGGUUUCCGCCCCUCAGUGCUGCAGCUAACGCAUUAAGCACUCCGCCUGGGGAGUACGGUCGCAAGACUGAAACUCAAAUGAAUUGACGGGG